rnacentral:lncRNA from 1 species
UAUCAUUCCAAUUAUGAAGACAUGCUGUAUUCUCAAUAAUGUAGGUACAUAGAUAACAAGGUACUGGUGCACCUUCUAAAAAAUAUUGUUUCACGAUGGGGGUUGAAGUAUAUCUCUUGUUUUGUCUUGUGUUUAUAUUCAUUAUUUCAUUUUGUGGCCUCUUACAGAAGAUUAGACAGUCAUAUGAAAGGGAAAGAAUUAUAGCAGUGAGGGUGUUUCCUAUACGUAGUACGGUGAACUACUUCAGUUUUUCCUAGAACUCAUGAUAUCGUGUUUACUCCUCAAACUGGAAUGUCGGAUAAAAAAUAGUUUUUUAUUGUUUGCCAACAAUGUUCAAUACAACAGAUAUAAAACCUU